AGGGAGAGGUUCAAGACGGAUACAACGUUGUCGAGGAAGGUUUCGUCUUCGGUCGUCGGUAUUACGAGGUUUUACUCUAUUUUGGGGGAUAUUCUUAGGUGAAAAGAUGAAGUGGUCUGGCGCAGUGUUGGCAGCGGCUGGUGUGGUGGCUGGAUGUGGAGUGGUGGAAGCGGCGGUGGAGUUCGAGCCACACGUGAGAGUGGAGAGAGACUACAGUUCCGGCGGUGGAGGUGGAGGUUUUACUGGGACUGGAGGUUAUGGAGGUACAGGUGGAGGAAG